AACGAACGCUGGCGGCAGGCUUAACACAUGCAAGUCGAGCGCCCCGCAAGGGUGGCGGCAGACGGGUGAGUUACGCCUGGGAAAGUACCCUUAUCUUCUGGGUACCACCGUGAAACUGGAAUUAUUACCGAAUGUGCCCUUUGUGUGAAAGAUCUAUCGGUUAUGGAUCGGCUCGCGUUUGAUUAGCUAGUUGGCGUGGUAAAGGCCUACCAAAGCGACGAUCGAUAGCUGGUCUGAGAGGAUGAUCAGCCACAGUGGGACUGAGACACGGCCCAAACUCCUACGGGAGGCAGCAGUGGGGAAUAUUGGACGAUGAGCGCAAGCCUGAUCCAGCCAUGCCGCGUGAGUGAUGAAGGUCGUAGGGUUGUAAAGCUCUUUCACCGGAGAAGAUAAUGACGGUACCCGGAGAAGAAGCCCCGGCUAACUUCGUG
rnacentral:rRNA from 1 species